UGGGGAAUAUUGCACAAUGGGCGCAAGCCUGAUGCAGCCAUGCCGCGUGUGUGAAGAAGGCCUUCGGGUUGUAAAGCACUUUCAGCGAGGAGGAAGGUGGUGAGCUUAAUACGCUCAUCAAUUGACGUUACUCGCAGAAGAAGCACCGGCUAACUCCGUGCCAGCAGCCGCGGUAAUACGGAGGGUGCAAGCGUUAAUCGGAAUUACUGGGCGUAAAGCGCACGCAGGCGGUUUGUUAAGUCAGAUGUGAAAUCCCCGGGCUCAACCUGGGAACUGCAUUUGAAACUGGCAAGCUAGAGUCUCGUAGAGGGGGGUAGAAUUCCAGGUGUAGCGGUGAAAUGCGUAGAGAUCUGGAGGAAUACCGGUGGCGAAGGCGGCCCCCUGGACGAAGACUGACGCUCAGGUGCGAAAGCGUGGGGAGCAAACAGGAUUAGAUACCCCUGGUAGUCCACGCUGUAAAACGAUGUCGAUUUUGGAGGUUGUGCCCCUUGAGGCGUGGNUUCCGGAGCUAACGCGUUAAAUCGACCGCCUGGGGAGUACGGCC
rnacentral:rRNA from 1 species